UACAGAGACUGCAAGCGUUAUUCGGAUUCACUGGGCGUAAAGGGUGCGCAGGCGGUUGGGUGUGUCAGAUGUGAAAUCCCGAGGCUUAACCUCGGAACUGCGUCUGAAACUACUCGACUAGAGUACUGGAGAGGGAAACGGAAUUCACGGUGUAGCAGUGAAAGUGCGUAGAUAUCGUGAGGAACACCAGAGGCGAAGGCGGUUUCCUGGACAGUUACUGACGCUCAGGCACGAAAGCAUGGGGAGCAAACAGG
rnacentral:rRNA from 1 species